UACACCGCAGGACGUUGAAAUACGUCUAUUGAGUGGAAAUCGUACCGAUGCAGGCAGGGUCGAGUAAGUUAUUCCGAAAGACCUUGAGGUGAUAAGA
rnacentral:sRNA from 12 species